rnacentral:snRNA from 1 species
AUACUUACCUGGCAGGGGAGAUACCAUGGUCAAAAAGGUGGUUCACCCAGGACGAGGCUUGGCCAUUGCACUCUGGCUGAGCUGACCUCUGUGAAUUCCCCAAAUGUGGGAAUCUCAACUGCAUAAUUUAUGGUAGUGGGGGACUGUGUUUGCGCUCUCCCUUG